rnacentral:rRNA from 1 species
UCCAUAGCUGGUUUGAGAGGAUGAUCAGCCACACUGGGGACUGAGACACGGCCCAGACUCCUACGGGAGGCAGCAGUGGGGAAUCUUGGACAAUGGGGGAAACCCUGAUCCAGCCAUGCCGCGUGAUCGAUGAAGGCCUUAGGGUUGUAAAGAUCUUUCAGCUGGGAAGAUAAUGACGGUACCAGCAGAAGAAGCCCGGCUAACUCCGUGCCAGCAGCCGCGGUAAUACGGAGGGGGCUAGCGUUGUUCGGAAUUACUGGGCGUAAAGCGCACGUAGGCGGAUCAGUCAGUCAGGGGUGAAAUCCCGGGGCUCAACCCCGGAACUGCCUUUGAUACUGCUGGUCUUGAGGUCG